CUGAUGCGCCAUGCCGCGUGUAUGAAGAAGGCCUUCGGGUUGUAAAGUACUUUCAGUUGUGAGGAAGGGGGUGUCGUUAAUAGCGGCAUCUCUUGACGUUAGCAACAGAAGAAGCACCGGCUAACUCCGUGCCAGCAGCCGCGGUAAUACGGAGGGUGCGAGCGUUAAUCGGAAUUACUGGGCGUAAAGCGCAUGCAGGUGGUUCAUUAAGUCAGAUGUGAAAGCCCGGGGCUCAACCUCGGAACUGCAUUUGAAACUGGUGAACUAGAGUACUGUAGAGGGGGGUAGAAUUUCAGGUGUAGCGGUGAAAUGCGUAGAGAUCUGAAGGAAUACCAGUGGCGAAGGCGGCCCCCUGGACAGAUACUGACACUCAGAUGCGAAAGCGUGGGGAGCAAACAGGAUUAGAUACCCUGGUAGUCCACGCCGUAAACGAUGUCUACUUGGAGGUUGUGGCCUUGAGCCGUGGCUUUCGGAGCUAACGCGUUAAGUAGACCGCCUGGGGAGUACGGUCGCAAGAUUAAAACUCAAAUGAAUUGACGGGGGCCCGCACAAGCGGUGGAGCAUGUGGUUUAAUUCGAUGCAACGCGAAGAACCUUACCUACUCUUGACAUCCAGAGAAGCCAGCGGAGACGCAGGUGUGCCUUCGGGAGCUCUGAGACAGGUGCUGCAUGGCUGUCGUCAGCUCGUGUUGUGAAAUGUUGGGUUAAGUCCCGCAACGAGCGCAACCCUUAUCCUUGUUUGCCAGCGAGUAAUGUCGGGAACUCCAGGGAGACUGCCGGUGAUAAACCGGAGGAAGGUGGGGACGACGUCAAGUCAUCAUGGCCCUUACGAGUAGGGCUACACACGUGCUACAAUGGCGCAUACAGAGGGCAGCGAACUUGCGAGAGUGAGCGAAUCCCAAAAAGUGCGUCGUAGUCCGGAUUGGAGUCUGCAACUCGACUCCAUGAAGUCGGAAUCGCUAGUAAUCGUAGAUCAGAAUGCUACGGUGAAUACGUUCCCGGGCCUUGUACACACCGCCCGUCACACCAUGGGAGUGGGCUGCAAAAGAAGUGGGUAGUUUAACCUUUCGGAGGAGACUCUCACUUUGUGGUCUUGAGUGGG
rnacentral:rRNA from 1 species